UACCAGCACCCCGAGUGGUCGGGACGAUUAUUGGGCCUAAAGCAUCCGUAGCCGGUCAUGCAAGUCCUCCGUUAAAUCCAGCUGCUCAACAGAUGGGCCGCGGAGGAUACUACAGAGCUAGGAGGCAGGAGAGGCAAGCGGUACUCAGUGGGUAGGGGUAAAAUCCGUUGAUCCAUUGAAGACCACCAGUGGCGAAGGCGGCUUGCCAGAAUGCGCUCGACGGUGAGGGAUGAAAGCUGGGGGAGCAAACCGG
rnacentral:rRNA from 1 species